rnacentral:lncRNA from 1 species
ACAUACACACACAAACACACACACACCGAAACACAUCACACACACAUCAGACGCACAAACACACACACACACCACACAUAUCACACACACAUACAUCACACACACAAACACAUCACACAUAUCACACACACACAUCACACACACAUCACACACACACAUAAGACACACCCACACACACAUCACACACAUCAAACACACAUCCCACAUACACAUACACACACCUGACACACGCAUCACACACACACACACACAUCACACAAAGAGACACAC